AGUCGUAACAAGGUUUCCGUAGGUGAACCUGCGGAAGGAUCAUUCGUGAUACCCGGUUCGGCGUAUGCCGUUCCGAUCCAUAUGUGAAACUAUAUGCGCUCGUCCCAGUUGCGAUCCGCUUCGGCGGUGACAUCUGGGCUUUAUUACGUUAGUAGCAGGGAACAAAUUUAACAAUUACAACUUUUAGCGAUGGAUCUCUUGGCUCUCACACCGAUGAAGAACGUAGCAAACUGCGAUAAUCAAUGCGAUUCGCAGUCUCGUGAGUCAUCCGGUAUUCGAACGCACAUGGCAGGUCUUCGGACCUACGUCUGGUUGAGGGUCUUUUUUACUCCACUCUGUGGGAUGUGAUCGUGCAUUUGGCUCGAUCCAAAGGCAAGGUGUCCCGCACCUGACCCGUUUGGUGGACAACUAAUCGGACAAGAUGCGGGCGUCAACUGGAAGCAGUCGACAUUCUACUUUGACCUCAACUCAGACGAGAUGACCCGCUGAACUUAAGCAUAUCAAUAAGCGGAGGAAAAGACACCAACAGGGAUUCCCUUAGUAACGGCGAGUGAAACGGGAAAAGCGCAACAUGGGAAUCGUGCCGCAAGGUUCGAGUUGUAGGGUUGCAGUGUCAGCCUUGGGCAAAGCGACGUGUAAGUCUCUUGGAACAGAGCAGCAUAGAGGGUGAUACUCCCGUGACAUGUCGUGGCGUCUGUGAUGGCUGGCAGUAGGCGAGUCGGGUUGUUUGGGAAUGCAGCUCAAACGGGUGGUAAACUCCAUCCAACGCUAAAUACUGGUGAGAGACCGAUAGCAAACAAGUACCGUGAGGGAAAGAUGAAAAGCACCUUGAAAAGGGCGUUAAAAGAAUGUGAAAUCGCUAAGGGGGAAGCGUUGCCAGCGAGUGCAGUAUGGCACAGAUCAUGGGCUCCAUUGGGGUCUUGCACUGUGUGUUGUACUGGUCCACAUCAGUUUCGGCUGCUGGAUGAUCUCUGCGGAAGGCAGCAUCCUCGGAUGUGUUAAGCCGCAGAGGACGCAGUGGCUUCGACUGAGGAUCGCCGUGUACGUUUGCGCGUCCAUGUAUCUCUGGGCAUGUUCCGGUUGGUGCAUCUUUGAUGAGCUAGCCGAGACCGUGUCCACCGGUGUAUGUUGUCGCUCUACACGAAGGAUGUGGGCGAAAUCGCUUGCAGCGACC
rnacentral:rRNA from 1 species